rnacentral:rRNA from 1 species
UACGUAGGGUGCGAGCGUUAAUCGGAAUUACUGGGCGUAAAGCGUGCGCAGGCGGCUUCGCAAGUCAGACGUGAAAUCCCCGGGCUUAACCUGGGAAUGGCGUUUGAAACUACGGAGCUGGAGUGUGGCAGAGGGAGGUAGAAUUCCACGUGUAGCGGUGAAAUGCGUAGAUAUGUGGAGGAAUACCGAUGGCGAAGGCAGCCCCCUGGGUCAAAACUGACGCUCAUGCACGAAAGCGUGGGGAGCAAACAGG